UGUGCAUUGGUCCAAUUGUCGUUGACCGCAUAAAUCAUAUGGUGAACCAUGCUUAGGUUCAUGGCACCGCAUAAUCAUAGUAUAACAUAUGGUGGAGCAUGCUUAGGUCCGUGUCACCACAUACAUCAUGGCAUAACAUAUGGUGGAGCACGCUUAGGUCAGUAUCACUGCAUACAUCAUUGCAUAACUUGUGGUGGACCACAAUUAGGUCCAUGGCUUGCACUUCCAUCCAUAACAUAAGGCCAAACUUUAAAGCUUACUUAUCGUUCACACGACCUCUUACUUAUCUUAUCUUAUCAUAAUGCAUGUGAACAUGUUGACAUCAUGAAUUUUCAUGGUGUGCCAUACUUAUAUGCAUGGCAUAUUAACAUAAGCAUUACAUAACAUAACAUAGCAUAACAUAACAUGACAUGAGUGUUAAAUAACAUAACAUGACAUAAGCAUUGCAUAACAUAACAUAAGCAUUACAUACAUAAUGAAACAGACAUACAAUUUCAGCAUAACAUACAUAAUUUUAUUCACAAGCAUAUUGUCGAAAUUCAUCGAGGGUUCAUAAAGAGGGGCUAACCUUGAAUUGGCUGUACCUAGCAUAGGUAAACCACACCUUUUUCAUGGAAAAAUAGAAUAGUUACAGCACACAUAAAGGUUACGAUCAUGCUACGUACCUGGUAACAUUAAUCCAAUAUUUUCGGCAUGUAGUCAAUCACCUAUAAAAUAGGCACAUAACUUGCAUCAAUUUCUCAUUAAACACAUACUUUGUAAUAAAAACUUAAAAUACUAAAAUAAUCUAUUUUCCUUAAAGGCUUAAAUUUUUGAAACCUUAAAAUAUUAUCACUCCCCAAAUACUCUUAUUUUCACAUGAUUUCUCCAAAAAUCACGUGAUUAAUCCCCAAAAUUAUUAUCAAGCCUAAAUGUUUGAUUUCUCUCGAUAUUCUUCAUCACAUGUCACCAUGAAAUACUAAAUCCUAAAAUAAUCUAACUUUCGUGUGUUUGAACUCUCCUAAAUCCAUAUCCUACGUCAAACCCAUGAAACCACGACAAACACAGCUGUGAUCCAAUCCAUGUGUGACCUCUACAACUGUGCGUGGCCAGCCAGUCUUCAAUUAUCAUGAUAACCCGACAUAGACAAAGAUGGAGAGAGAACUAAUGUGAGAGAGAAAAGUGAGAGAGAGAGAGAGAGAGUUAACAUUGAGAAAAGGGAGGAACCAAGCGAGCUAGAGAGAGUCUCACGUACGGUGCAACGUGUGGGCUGGGCGGCGUUUGACGGUGGAGACGUAUUCUUUGGUGUCUUCUGUUGCUGUUGGCUUGGCAGUGGCGUCGUGCCUCAACUGUUGCAAGGCGUGGCUCUAAUGCAACUUUGUUUUUGUGUUGUAAAAAAUAGAGGACAUGGGAGGGGUUUGCGUAGUGGCUUGUGGUUUGGUUCACAGAUGCUGGCUCUUGGUUAUGGUUGUGCCUGGUUGUGACUGAGGGAGGCGGUGGUUUAGGGUGGCAGUGGUGUGGAGGAGCUUGGCAGUUGGUUGAUCUGGUUUGACGUGGAGGAUGUUGCGGCUUGAGAUAUCUUGGUGCAAGGUUUACAGUUUCGUGGUGGUGGAGGCUUGAACGUGGAUGGCUUGCUUGUUGUUGGCUGGGUUCACAGUGCUUGAGUCACGAUGGGGAGAGGCUGUCCUUGGUGCUGCGGCCUAUGUUUCUGGGUUUCUUUCCAUCGGUGGUUGGCUUCACUGCACUAGGGAGAGGGGCUUGUCGUGUGAGGUUCUGAUGUGGCUUGAAAGAGACUGACCUGCAGCCUGAAUAGGUGGUUCUUGGCCAGCCGUGGCUACGCUUGCUGGAGAGAAACCAUGGAGCUGCUGCGGCAACCCUAGAGCUUGAAGGAGGCGAUCCGUGCAUGGGGGGUCUAACUUGUUCUAUAUAUAUACACGGAUUGGGUUUAGGGUGAUGGUAUAGGCUUUUAACAAAGGGGUUCAACUAUUUAAUGGGUCGAACUAUGAUAUAGGGCUUGCUUAUAAUUUUAUAGGCUAAGUAUUCAAUAAAUUCCGGCAGGCCUACUAGUCUUGAAUUCAAAAUAACCCUAACUCGUCCAAUAAAUAUUUGGGCUUAUAAAAUGAUUCUUGGGCUUAUUACCAAUUAAGUAGGACCCGCUUGUCCAUAAAUGUUAAUUGGAAUUUAACCUAAUUAUUGAGCCCAAUAAAAAAUUCCGUAAUUUACUACAAUAAUUUCUGAGCUCUUGGCCUAUUCGAAAAUUAACCAAUAGACCUCAAUUGGCUUCUCAAAUCUUGGUCCAUUAAUACAAGAUUUAAGCCCAAUAAAAUUAUCCUUAUAACUAUUGGACCGGGUCGUUAUAAAUACGAAUUUAAAA